UAGAAUAUACAGUUUAUGAAUUUAUUUACAAUAAAUUUAAUUUUGUGCAAUUCAAAAUAUUCU
rnacentral:tRNA from 1 species